rnacentral:rRNA from 1 species
ACAAAAACCCCAAUGUGAACGUUACCAAACUGUUGCCUCGGCGGGAUCUCUGCCCCGGGUGCGUCGCAGCCCCGGACCAAGGCGCCCGCCGGAGGACCAACCAAAACUCUUAUUGUAUACCCCCUCGCGGGUUUUUUACUAUCUGAGCCAUCUCGGCGCCCCUCGUGGGCGUUUCGAAAAUGAAUCAAAACUUUCAACAACGGAUCUCUUGGUUCUGGCAUCGAUGAAGAACGCAGCGAAAUGCGAUAAGUAAUGUGAAUUGCAGAAUUCAGUGAAUCAUCGAAUCUUUGAACGCACAUUGCGCCCGCCAGUAUUCUGGCGGGCAUGCCUGUCCGAGCGUCAUUUCAACCCUCGAACCCCUCCGGGGGGUCGGCGUUGGGGAUCGGCCCUUUACGGGGCCGGCCCCGAAAUACAGUGGCGGUCUCGCCGCAGCCUCUCCUGCGCAGUAGUUUGCACACUCGCAUCGGGAGCGCGGCGCGUCCACAGCCGUUAAACACCCCAAACUUCUGAAAUGUUGACCUCGGAUCAGGUAGGAAUACCCGCUGAACUUAAGCAUAUCAAUAGCGGGAGGGAAA